GAAUCUGUUAAGGUGGUUGACCCCAAGUUCCUGAGGAACAUGUGCUUUGCCAAGAAGCACAACAAGAAAGGCCUGAAGAAGAUGCAGGCCAACAAUGCAAAAGCAGUGUGUGCGUGCACUGAGGCCAUCAAGGCACUGGUGAAGCCUCAGGCCAUCAAGCCCAAGAUGCCAAAAGCCCCAAACUCAAGAAGCUGGCUUUCAUAGUUCACCCUAAGUUUGGGAAGCAGAUUUGAAGCUACAUGGCCAAGGGUCAGAGGCUUUGCCAACCGUAGGCUAAGGUUCAAACCAAGGCAGGGGCCAAAGCUCCAGCUAAGGCCCAGGCUUCAGCUCCAGCCCAGGCUCCCAAAGGUGCUCAGGCCCCCAAAGGUGCCCAGACCCCUCUGAAGGUCCCAUAG
rnacentral:lncRNA from 1 species